GUGUGCCGUUGAUCCGUGAAGAUAACCGUGAGCUGAGGUGGGCGGCCGUCUUCGAAUUUCUUCUUCAUGGAGAGAAGCAAGCGUAUGACCAUGUGCACUGACACACCUAGAAUAGCUUCUGCCUUCUCUCUUUCUUUAUUCUGCCAUCCCUCUUUCUUUAUCAAUAAAAUAACAAGAGAAACCCACAAAGAGAAACCGUGAAAGGAAGGAAAUUCGGCGCCUACAAUUGU
rnacentral:lncRNA from 1 species